rnacentral:rRNA from 1 species
GAUGAACGCUAGCUACAGGCUUAACACAUGCAAGUCGAGGGGUAGCACGGAAGAAGCUUGCUUCUUUGGGUGACGACCGGCGCACGGGUGAGUAACGCGUAUCCGACCUACCCAUAACUCGGGCACAGCCGCUCGAAAGAGCGAUUGAUUCCCGAUAUGUCUUUAGAGUAGAUCUAAUGAUGAAAGAUUCAUCGGUUAUGGAUGGGGAUGCGUUCCAUUAGAUAGUCGGUGAGGUAACGGCUCACCGAGUCUAUGAUGGAUAGGGGUUCUGAGAGGAAGGUCCCCCACAUUGGAACUGAGACACGGUCCAAACUCCUACGGGAGGCAGCAGUGAGGAAUAUUGGUCAAUGGACGAGAGUCUGAACCAGCCAUGUCGCGUGAAGGACGACGGUCCUAUGGAUUGUAAACUUCUUUUAUAUGGGAAUAAAGUGUGGGACGUGUCCCAUUUUGAUGUACCAUUAUGAAUAAGCAUCGGCUAACUCCGUGCCAG